AGGUAAACAAUUUAAUUUGAUUGCUUUUCUGAUUUCCGUGACCAAGUUACCUGCUGCUAGCUGGACAAAAUGCUAUGCUAGGCUAUCGAUAAACUUACACAAAUGCUUGUCUAGCUUUGGCUGUAAAGCAUAUUUCGAAAAUCUGAGAUGACAGGGUUAUUAACAAAAGGCUAAGCUGUGUCUCAAUAUAUAUAUCACUUAUGAUUUUCAUGAAUAUGAAUUUUCUAGGAAUAUUUAUGUCCGUUGCGUUAUGCUAAUUAGUGUCAGUCGAUGAUUACGUUCUCUCAUGCGGGAUGGGGAGUCACUAGAGGUUAAAAUCAACCCAUUUAGAUACAUUUAUUUUUGUAUAAUCAGAUCCAAUGACUUUGCUUUGCACCAGGUUCGACUAGUAGUUCUACUCUGACAACUGACACCCCUAAGGGUCCACACGAUUUUAGUUUAUUGGCUUAUCAAGUUGUGUUGUGUGUUAACUGUUAUUAAACAGUCUCUCUCUUGCAUGUGCCCAGGAGGUCAUAGCUCCACAGAAAGCGUUCUGGUUUCGACUGUUACUUCUACUUUGACCCCUGACAUCACAAUGAGACCAACUAGUAAGUAUCCCUUACUUUGCAAUUACAUUUUUAGUUCACUCUAAUUCACUGAAGCUCCAACAGGUUUACUCAUAGACUUAUUCAUGGCUGCUUGUACGUUCACUCUAAAUUGUACUUUUCUUAGAUAUGAAUAGCGCCGGAGGGGAUGGCUGCCAUUUUACGGGUUCCUAACCAAUUGUGCUAUUCUGGGUGUUUUUUUUUGCGUUGUUUGUAACUUGUUUUGCACAUAAUGUUUCUGCCACUGUCUCUUAUGACUGAAAAGAGCUUCUGGACAUCAGAACAGUGAUUACUCACUGGCCGAAGAUUUUUUUCUUUAAUGAAUUGAAGGAGAAAGAUUUACUUAUUUUCACGGACCAGGCCCAAAGCCCCGUCAUUCGCAUGAAGAGGAGACGACCGAUACAGGGGCCGCAGAUCCUGAUGCUUGGUGAGAAUUCAUCUGCAAGUGGAUAAUCCUGCUUCACCAUCCGUAUCUUAUGUUUCACCGAGUCAUGGCUGUACGAGGACAUGGAUCAUAUACAGUUGGCUGGAUUUACCGUGUAUCGGCAAGACAGAACAAUAAGUAAGACGAGGGCUGGUGGUCUGUCUAUUUGUCAAUAACAGCUGUUGUGCAAAUAUUAAGGAAGUCUAGAGGUUUUGCUCGCCUGAGGUAGAGUAUCUUAUGAUAAGCUGUAGUCCACACAAUAUACCAAAAGAGUUUAUCUUUAUUUUUUGUAGCUGUCUAUUUACCACCACAAACCGAUGCAGGCACUAAGACCGCACUCAACGAGCUGUAUAAGGCCAUAAGCAGACAAGAGAAUGCUCAUCCAGAAGUGGUGCUUAGUGCUGGAGACUUUAAUGCAGGAAAGCUUUAAUCCAUGUUACCUCAUUUCUACCAGCAUGUCAAAUGUGCAAUCAGAGAAAAAUAAAAUCUAGACCACCUUUACUCCACACACAGAGAUGUGUACAAAUCUCUCCCUCACCCUCCAUUUGGAAAAUCUGACCAUAAUUAUAUCCUCCUGAUUCCUGCUAACCUGCAAAAACUUAAGCAAGACUUACCAGUGACUCG
rnacentral:lncRNA from 1 species